AUGACGAAUUUGGGAGAGACUGCAAAUAAAGCAUUUUAAAGAAAAAAUUGCUUUAGACACAUGAAAAUAGGCUAGCAAGAGGACUUGUUAUUUAUUUGAUAGUGCCAUAUAGCAGCGCCGAAGGUGAAGCCGCAACAAACUCUCAGGCAAAAGGACCGAAUUCUGACG
rnacentral:ncRNA from 2 species